GUGCUCACUUCAGAUGCACAUAUGCUAAACAAACACUGGAACAAGAGGAGAAGAUUAGCAAAGCUCCUUCGCCAACAUGACAUGCAAAUUUAUGAGGUAUCCCAUGUUU
rnacentral:snRNA from 1 species